rnacentral:tRNA from 1 species
GGGUCGGUAGUCUAGGCGGCUAUGAUACUGCAUUGACAGUGCAGUGGUCACGAGUUCGAGUCUCGUCCGACCCACCA